GGAUAAGAGGCUGACCUGGCUGCAGCAUCUGUUACCCCAGAUAAUCAGGCUUGAUUCAGUGGGCCGGGCCGGUGAGGCAGCUGUCACCCCUCUUUCCUGGCUGCUCCAUGUGUGCUCUUCCUGAAGCUGCGUGCACAGACACACAGGCAGACCUUUCCAUCAGGGUACAGCUGCCUCCUGCUAG
rnacentral:snRNA from 1 species